GACGAACGCUGGCGGCGUGCUUAACACAUGCAAGUCGAACGAUGAACCCGGAGCUUGCUCCGGUGGAUUAGUGGCGAACGGGUGAGUAACACGUGAGUAACCUGCCCUUGACUCUGGGAUAACUGCGGGAAACUGUAGCUAAUACCGGAUACGACCCUCGGCGGCAUCGCCAGGGGGUGGAAAGAAUUUCGGUCAAGGAUGGACUCGCGGCCGAUCAGCUAGUUGGUGAGGUAACGGCUCACAAAGGCGACGACGGGUAGCCGGCCUGAGAGGGUGACCGGCCACACUGGGACUGAGACACGGCCCAGACUCCUACGGGAGGCAGCAGUGGGGAAUAUUGCACAAUGGGCGCAAGCCUGAUGCAGCAACGCCGCGUGAGGGAUGACGGCCUUCGGGUUGUAAACCUCUUUUAGUAGGGAAGAAGCGAAAGUGACGGUACCUGCAGAAAAAGCACCGGCUAACUACGUGCCAGCCGCCGCGGUAA
rnacentral:rRNA from 1 species